AACUCUAUAAUGUUCACAAUUUCAUCUCAAAUCUCAGAAGAGGCUGCACUGCAAAAUGGACAUUGAUAAGCAAAAGAACUAGUAUCUUCAUUCAUCCUCGGAAGUGAAUAUUAACCGAUGGCUGCAAGAACAUCGUUUGCUGAAUUGAGAGAGCUAGUGGCAAAAAUGGAUGGAAAAGGAAUGAUGAGACCUUUCUUUUUUGACAGUCUAUACUUCCAGCUUCCGGACCUGGCUUAAUCUUAAAUUUGAGGGUACAUGGUUGUCUUCUAGAAAUAAACUUGAUGGGAUGGUCUGUUGAAGGCCUAUGCCGGUCAGCAGCAGAUAUGAGCUUUUCAUCAAAGCGAAAGAGAGAUUGAUCAAAAUAGGGAGAAGGACUCAAUGAUUGACAACUGAAAGGCAAAGAAGCCAGCAUCUUUUUCACAAACUGUGAAAAGCUGCUAGCUUUAUUCCUUAUGGACUGUAGUUGCUCAAAAGCAUGAAUGUUGUUUGAAUGGGAAGAUAUAAAAUUCAUGUACAAUGAAUUUCUUGAUGUUGCAUAGAAGUGGUCGCAGAACUGCUCAAACAAGAGGUAAAGCUCUUCUGCUGAAUUCUGGUAAAAAGCAACAAUUUCAGUUGUAUCCAUGUUAUAUACAGCAAAGAAUGAGGGAUGGUGAUCAGCACUUCUUGAUACCCCUCCAUCUACACUACCAAACUUGAUUAGCAGGUGAUGCCGAUCCAAGAAUUGUACCUUCCAGAUAAUCAAGUCAACGUAAUCUUGAAAAUGGAAAUAGAACUUCUUCUUCAAGCCUUGGACCCUCAUGGAGUUAUGUCUUUCUUCAUUCCAUAUUCCUCGGAAAAUGAAAGAAAGCAAGCGUUGUUUGAUGCCACUCAGAAAAGAAUUGUCUGAACUGGGUUGGGUGUUAUGCACACUGUUUUCAACAUGACUCCAAGAUGAUUGAUGCAUUUUACUUUUGUCAGCAAUUGCCAUGCACUGAGUGCUGGAAUUGAGAAAAAGCUCAUCAUCUUCACGGCAAAAUGUACCUAUAGCACGAAUGUCAACAAGGUUACCAGAUUCUCUAAUUUGGAGAAUGUGUAUAGUUUGAUAACGAAGCGACACAAUUGCCAGUAAAUCAUCAUAUAAGAAGACGCCCAUGUUGUGUGCCAGAUUAACAAAAUCAUUCCUGAAGACCUUCUCAUCCAGAAUCAUUCCAUCUUCCAAUCUCAAAAGGUGGAAAGUAAUCCUCUCUAUGGAGGGGACUCCCUGAAUAGCACCUCCAAUAGCAGGUGUAUCAUGAAAUUGUGCAGUAGAAGUAGCAAAUAAACCGAAUUGGCAACUCUCCACAUAAAGAAAGAAAUCUUUGCAUAUAACCUCAUUGCUGGAAGCAAGUG
rnacentral:misc_RNA from 1 species